UACAGAGGUCCCAAGCGUUGUUCGGAUUCACUGGGCGUAAAGGGUGCGCAGGUGGGCUGGUAAGUUCGAUGUGAAAGCCCCGGGCUCAGCCCGGGAAGGGCGCUCGAAACGGCGCGGCUCGAGUGCCGGAGGGGAGAGUGGAAUUCCUGGUGUAGCGGUGAAAUGCGUAGAUAUCAGGAGGAAUACCGGUGGCGAAAGCGACUCUCUGGACGGCAACUGACGCUGAGGCACGAAAGCGUGGGGAGCAAACAGG
rnacentral:rRNA from 1 species